AUGGCCGCCUGGUCGGCCGACCUCUCGUCGGCGCUCUACAAGGAAAUGGCGCAUGUGGUGCUCUGCCUCCUAAGUGUCAUGUUCGUCGUCGGGAUGGCGGACUUCAGCCGUCUCCCCGGCUGCGGAAGACCAACGAGGAUGGACCUCCAGGAGCUCGCGGUCCAGGUGCGUUACACCCUCGUCCUCAGCGCCUCCGCGGCCGCUGGGGUACUCUCCUGGCUCGGCAAGGCGGCCGACGACCUGAGCGCCGCUGGGUGGGACUGGGAGAUGCGCGCCAUGUUCAUCGUCGGCCUCAACCUCACCUUAACCUCGACGUUCAUUGCCCUCUCCGCCCUGGUCUUGGAGCUCUCGUGCGACAUCGUCGUCAACUACAUCAUCGCGGCGGCGCUCGUCGGUGCAUCUCGUUGCCGCCUGGGUUGUCCGUAG
rnacentral:rRNA from 1 species